rnacentral:tRNA from 1 species
ACGCCAGUAGCUCAAUUGGUAGAGUAGCGGUCGCCAAAACCGUCGGUUGGGGGUUCGAGUCCCUGCUGGCGUG